AUUUUUGAGAGUAGUAUUUCAAUAAAAUUGGUUUUCUUUGUAAUUUAUGGAACUUUUUUUAAAACUGGAUUUAAAGAUCUUAGAGGAGCUGGGGCUGGGGCUCAGCAGUAGCAUACUUGCCUAGCAUGUGUGGGGCACUGGGUUCGAUUCUCAGCACCACGUGUAAAUAAAAAAAAAAUAAAGGUCUAUCAACAACUAAAAAAUAAAAAUAAAAAGAUCUUAUACUCAGAAAGAGUCCACCAUACAAAAAAGGUCAAGAACCCCUGUCCAUCCCUACACAAAACAGCAGGUGCAAGGGCUCAAGGCAGAAGCAUGCUUACAAUGUCAAAGGAAGAGGUCACCCAGGACACUGUAAGGAACUUGAAUUUGACUGAAGUGAUAUGAGGGGGUUGUCAUUGGUAUCAUGAAUGACAUGAUCUGACACUGGAUUUUACAGGUCACUCAGCUUUCAUACAGAGAGCAGACCAAAGUGGGGAAGGCUGAAGUCGAAGGAUGUAUGGGAAGACAUGUUGAUUCACUCACCAAGUGAGGGAAGAUGUUACCUUGGACCAGAGUGGCAGUGGUGGAAAUGGUGAGAAGUGGUCAAGUUCUGUGUAUAUUUUGGAGAAUUUGCUUAUGGAAUGUGAGAGAAAGACACUAAGGAUGACUACAAGAGUUUGACCUUAAGCCCAUGGAAGGAUGGAUUGCCAUUGGCUAAGGCAGGGGAAACUGGAAGGAAUAGGUUUUAGAGGAGGAUAAGGAGCUUAUUGUUGGACAUACUGAGCUCGAGAUGCCUGUUUGACAUCAAGUGCAGCCAUCCCACAGGGAGCUCAACAUGGCAGCCUUAGUUUGGGGCAAGGUCUUGGCUGAAGAUAUUAUUUAAGAAUUAUCAGCAGGUGGAUGGUAUUUAAAGCUACAGGAGAUCAUCCAAGUGUAGAAAGAGAAGGGACUCAAAGAUGGCUGGAAGACAGAGAGGAAUCAGCAAAGAUGUCAUCAAAAAAGAAGCAUCUAGGGACUGGGAUUGUGGCUCAGUAGUAGAGCACCCACCUAGCACAUGUGAGGCGCUGGGUGUGAAUAUAUAAAAAAUCUCAGCACUACAUGUGAAUAUAUAAAAAAUAAAGGUAUUGUGUCCACCUGCAACUAAAAAUAAAUAAAUAAAAAGCAUCCAAAGAGAUAGAAUGCCCUGGAAGCCAAGGGAAGCAAGAGUUACAGGAGGAAAGAAAGCCCUACGUCCAAAUCUGCGGGGAAUCAAACAUUAGGUUCAGAAACAUGGAGGUCAAUGGUGACCUUGAUAAGAGCCAUGUCAAUGGAAUGGUUCAAGCAAAACCUUGAUUGGACUGGGUUCAAGAAAGAGUGGCAACAUUUACAGUUGCUAUCAUGUGUUCCAGUAUGCUACUAAAAAUAAGAUAGCCAGGGCUGGGGUUGUAGCUCAGUGGUGGAACACUUGCCUACCACGUAUGAGGCACUGGAUUCAAUCCUCAGUACCUCAUAAAAAUAAAUAAAUAAAAUAGAGGUAUUUAUUAUGUCCAUCUAUAACUAAUAUAUAUAUAUUAAAGAAAUAAGACACCCUUUGUAUGUUUGUGAAUAUGUAUAGAACAGUAUAACCACGUAGCUGUAGAAAUUCAACUUAGACAACUUUUAGUGAGGAUCUUUCUGUUCCUUAAGCAUGGUAAGGGAUGUUCUGAGAGAAAUAAAGCACACUUGACUGCCUUCCGAGUCUAUAAAAUUUUGUUGACAAACGAAAUGUACACAAAGCCAUAUAUCUGGCUAAAUACACAUAUCAGCCUGACUAUUAGUUUUGCCAGUGUAACAGACAAUAUGACGAAAACUAUGCAUUCCAGAGUUAGACAGUCCUGGGUUUGCAUCCUUCCUUGACCAUUCAACAGCUUUAUGACUUUUCAUAGAUCAGUUAUCCUGUCUGUGCCUCAUUUUUCUUCUCUGUUAACUGGGGAUGAGUCAUUUCCAAACUUCAUUGUGCUGGGGAAUGGUGAUGCUCAGUAAAAAUGUAGACUUCUAGACCUUAUCCCCAAAGACUCCCAGUGGGCAGGUCUCCGAGACCUGUUCUUGAUGCCCUUACCCAUGAACCACAGUUUGUGAAACACAGACAACAUGACCACAUGGUUUCAAGUACUGGCCUGGUACUCAGUAAUUGCUUAUUAGACAAUAGCUGUUCUUCCAGGAGUCCUUAGUGGGAACAAACAUCCUUUUAAAAAUAACUUGCAGGGUUGGGGAUGUGGCUCAAGCGGUAGUGAGCUCGCCUGGCAUGUGUGCGGCCAGGGUUCGAUCCUCAGCACCACAUACAAACAAAGAUGUUGUGUCUGCCGAAAACUAAAAAAUAAAUAUUAAAAAAUUUAAAAAAAAUAAAAAUAAAAAUAACUUGCAAUUUAUAUACAGAAGCAGAAGGUCCAGCAUACCUUAAGAACUUUAAUUGAAAAAAUAGCAUAAGAACUUUAAUUGAAAAAAAGCAUAAGAUUUUGGUGUAUAUACACACACACACACACACGCAUACACACAAUGGAAUACUACUCAG
rnacentral:lncRNA from 1 species